GUGGCGGACGGGUGAGUAACGCGUGAGAAUCUGCCUUCAGGAUGGGGAUAACAACGGGAAACGGUUGCUAAUACCCAAUGUGCCGAGAGGUGAAAAGCAAUGUGCCUGAAGAGGAGCUCGCGUCUGAUUAGCUAGUUGGUAGAGUAAAAGCCUACCAAGGCGACGAUCAGUAGCUGGUCUGAGAGGAUGAGCAGCCACACUGGGACUGAGACACGGCCCAGACUCCUACGGGAGGCAGCAGUGGGGAAUUUUCCGCAAUGGGCGAAAGCCUGACGGAGCAAUACCGCGUGAGGGAGGAAGGUCAAGUAAUUGUAAACCUCUUUUCUCAGGGAAGAAAAAAAUGACGGUACCUGAGGAAAAAGCAUCGGCUAACUCCGUGCCAGCAGCCGCGGUAAUACGGAGGAUGCAAGCGUUAUCCGGAAUUAUUGGGCGUAAAGCGUCCGCAGGUGGUGAAACAAGUCUGCUGUUAAAGACUGGAGCUAAACUCCGGGAGAGCGGUGGAAACUGUAGCACUAGAGACCGGUAGGGGUAGAGGGAAUUCCCAGUGUAGCGGUGAAAUGCGUAGAGAUUGGGAAGAACACCAGUGGCGAAGGCGCUCUACUGGGCCGGAACUGACACUAAGGGACGAAAGCUAGGGUAGCGAAAGGGAUUAGAUACCCCUGUAGUCCUA
rnacentral:rRNA from 1 species